AGCGAACGCUGGCGGCAGGCCUAACACACGCAAGUCGAACGAACUCUUCGGAGUUAGUGGCGGACGGGUGAGUAACACGUGGGAACGUGCCUUUAGGUUCGGAAUAACUCAGGGAAACUUGUGCUAAUACCGAAUGUGCCCUUCGGGGGAAAGAUUUAUCGCCUUUAGAGCGGCCCGCGUCUGAUUAGCUAGUUGGUGAGGUAAAGGCUCACCAAGGCGACGAUCAGUAGCUGGUCUGAGAGGAUGAUCAGCCACAUUGGGACUGAGACACGGCCCAAACUCCUACGGGAGGCAGCAGUGGGGAAUCUUGCGCAAUGGGCGAAAGCCUGACGCAGCCAUGCCGCGUGAAUGAUGAAGGUCUUAGGAUUGUAAAAUUCUUUCACCGGGGACGAUAAUGACGGUACCCGGAGAAGAAGCCCCGGCUAACUUCGUG
rnacentral:rRNA from 1 species